CUGUCAGGGAAGAAGUAUAUACUAACCGUAGUAGACUAUGCCACCCGGUACCCAGAGGCCGUAGCCAUAACUAAUAUCCAUGCGGAGACUAUAGUAGAUGCGCUAAUCCGGAUAUUCUCCAGAAUGGGGUUCCCCAAAGAGAUUAUCUCAGAUCGGGGUACCCAAUUCACAGCCGAAGUCACUCAUCAGUUAUGGAGAACAUGUGGGGUGAAACCUAUUGUAAACUCAGC